AACAACAACAUAGUUGUUUGUACAUCCAAAGUGUUAAUUACUUUUUUUCUUUCUUUAAAUGCAGGCAUUUGAUGAUGCCAUUUCAGAGCUUGACCAGUUAAGUGAGGACUCUUACAAAGACAGCACUCUUAUCAUGCAGCUCCUCAGAGACAACCUGACUUUAUGGACUUCAGAAAAUGCUCCUGAGGAGAGUGAGGGUGGAGAAGGUGGAGAAUUUGGAGAGGGCGGCGAGAAUGAGAAUUAGAACUCCCGCGUUUCUGUCGUCUUGAAAAGUUAACAAAAUGGAAAAAAAAA